rnacentral:rRNA from 1 species
AACCAGCUCUUCAAGUGGUCGGGAUAAUUAUUGGGCUUAAAGCGUCCGUAGCCGGUUUAGUAAGUUCCUGGUAAAAUCGGGUAGCUUAACUAUCUGUAUGCUAGGAAUACUGCUAUACUAGAGGGCGGGAGAGGUCUGAGGUACUACAGGGGUAGGGGUGAAAUCUUAUAAUCCUUGUAGGACCACCAGUGGCGAAGGCGUCAGACUGGAACGCGCCUGACGGUGAGGGACGAAAGCCAGGGGAGCGAACCGGAUUAGAUACCCGGGUAGUCCUGGCCGUAAACGAUGCAUACUAGGUGAUGGCACGGCCAUGAGCCGUGUCAGUGCCGUAGGGAACCGUUAAGUGUGCCGCCUGGGAAGUACGGUCGCAAGGCUAAAACUUAAAGGAAUUGGCGGGGGAGCACCACAAGGGGUGAAGCCUGCGGUUU